GUCCACGCUGUAAACGAUGGGUACUAGGUGUUGUGGGUAUUGACCCCCGCAGUGCCGAAGCUAACGCAUUAAGUACCCCGCCUGGGGAGUACGGCCGCAAGGUUAAAACUCAAAGGAAUUGACGGGGCCCGCACAAGCGGUGGAGCAUGUGGUUUAAUUCGACGCAACGCGCAGAACCUUACCUGGACUUGACAUCCCGAGAAGUUCGUUGAAAGACGGAUGUGCCUCGCAAGAGGAGCUUGGAGACAGGUGCUGCAUGGCUGUCGU
rnacentral:rRNA from 1 species